rnacentral:rRNA from 1 species
GACGAACGCUGGCGGCGUGCUUAACACAUGCAAGUCGAACGCUGACGCUCAGCUUUUGUUGGGUGGAUGAGUGGCGAACGGGUGAGUAACACGUGAGUAACCUGCCUCCUUCUUUGGGAUAACGCCCGGAAACGGGUGCUACUACUGGAUAUUCACUGGUCUUCGCAUGGGGGUUGGUGGAAAGGGUUUUUCUGGUGGGGGAUGGGCUCGCGGCCUAUCAGCUUGUUGGUGGGGUGAUGGCCUACCAAGGCUUUGACGGGUAGGCGGCCUGAGAGGGUGACCGGUAACAUAGGGACUGAGAUACGGCCCAGACUACUACGGGAGGCAGAAGAGGGGAAUAUGGGACAAUGGGCGCAAGACUGAUGCAGCGACGGCGCGUGAGGGAUGGAGGCUGUCGGGUUGUGAACCUCUUUCGCUAAUGGUCAAGCCGCAAAAAUGGUUGUGGUGAGGGUAGUGGGUAAAGAAGCGCCGGCUAACUACGUG